AGUGAACGCUGGCGGUAGGCCUAACACAUGCAAGUCGACCGGCAGCACAGGGGAGCUUGCUCCUUGGGUGGGGAGUGGCGGACGGGUGAGGAAUACAUCGGAAUCUACUCUGUCGUGGGGGAUAACGUAGGGAAAAUUACGUUAAUACCGCAUACGACCUACGGGUGAAAGCAGGGGAACUUGGGGCCUUGCGCGACUGACUGAGCCGGUGUCGGAUUAGCUAGUUGGCGGGGUAAAGGCCCACCAAGGCGACGAUCCGUAGCUGGUCUGAGAGGAUGAUCAGCCACACUGGAACUGAGACACGGUCGAGACUCCUACGGGAGGCAGCAGUGGGGAAUAUUGGACAAUGGGCGCAAGCCUGAUCCAGCCAUACCGCGUGGGUGAAGAAGGCCUUCGGGUUGUAAAGCCCUUUUGUUGGGAAAGAAAUCCAGCUGGCUAAUACCCGGUUGGGAUGACGGUACCCAAAGAAUAAGCACCGGCUAACUUCGUGCCAGCCGCCGCAGUAA
rnacentral:rRNA from 1 species